CCCAACUAUCCCUAUUAAUCAUUACGUGGUCCUAAAACCAACAAAAUAGAACACCGUCCUAUUUUAUUAUUCCAUGCUAAUGUAUUCAAGCAAAAAUGCCCGCUUUAAACACUCUAAUUUUUUCAAAGUAAAGGUCCUAGUUCAUUGAAACACCCAAUAAAGAAGCAUCCCAAUUCACCAGAAGGUAAGAAAUUGGCUACACACCGAUUCAUGCCCCUAAAAGCACGACCAAUAUAUCCCAAUCCCGAAAUUCAACUACGAGCUUUUUAACCGCAACAACACUAAUAUACGCUAUCGGAGCUGGAAUAAUAGAAUAGGACGGCAUGGUUCUAUUUUGUUGGUUUCUAGGAUCACCGUAAUGAUUAAUAGGGAUAGUUGGGAUCU
rnacentral:misc_RNA from 1 species